CAGUGCUUAACGCUGUUGUGCUAUAGAAACUGUUUUACUAGAGUGAGAUAGAGGCAAGCGGAAUUCCAUGUGUAGCGGUAAAAUGCGUAAAUAUAUGGAGGAACACCAGAGGCGUAGGCGGCUUGCUGGGUCUUUACUGACGCUGAGGCACGAAAGCGUGGGGAGCAAACAGGAUUAGAUACCCUGGUAGUCCACGCCGUAAACGAUGAGUACUAAGUGUCGGGUAAAACUGGUACUGAAGUUAACACAUUAAGUACUCCGCCUGAGUAGUACGUACGCAAGUAUGAAACUUAAAGGAAUUGACGGGACUCCGCACAAGCGGUGGAUCAUGUUGUUUAAUUCGAAGAUACACGAAAAACCUUACCAGGUCUUGACAUUUUCUUGCGAAGUUAUAGAAAUAUAAUGGAGGUUAUCAGGAAAACAGGUGGUGCAUGGUUGUCGUCAGCUCGUGUCGUGAGAUGUUAGGUUAAGUCCUAAAACGAGCGCAACCCUUGUCGUUAAUUGCCAGCAUGUAAUGAUGGGGACUUUAACGAGACUGCCAAUGAAAAAUUGGAGGAAGGUGGGGAUUACGUCAAAUCAUCAUGCCCCUUAUGAUCUGGGCUACAAACGUGAUACAAUGGUUGAUACAAAGAGUAGCUGAAACGCGAGUUCUUAGCCAAUCUCAAAAAAACAAUCUCAGUUCGGAUUGAAGUCUGCAACUCGACUUCAUGAAGUUGGAAUCGCUAGUAAUCGCGAAUCAGC
rnacentral:rRNA from 1 species